rnacentral:rRNA from 1 species
GAUGAACGCUGGCGGCAUGCUUUACACAUGCAAGUCGGACGGAAAGUCGUGUUUCUAGUGGCGCACGGGUGAGUAACGCGUGAGUACCUGACAUUGGGAUGGGAACAACAGCAGAAAGCGGCAGCUACUACACCGUGGACUGAGUAGCGGAUAAAGUAAUCCGCCCAAGGAGGGGCUCGCGACUGAUGAUCUAGUUGGAGAGGUAAUAGCUUACCAAGGCCGUGAUCAGUAGCUGGUCCGAGAGGAUGACCAGCCACACUGAGACGGAGACAAGGAGCAGACUACUACGGGAGGCAGCAGUGGGGAAUACUCCGCAAUGGCGGAAAGCCUGACGGAGCAAUGCCGCGUGGAGGUAAAAGGCCUACGGGUCAUGAACUUCUUUUCCUGGAGAAGAAACAUUGACGGUACCUGGGGAAUAAGCAUCGGCUAACUCUGUG